GAUGAACGCUGGCGGCGUGCCUAAUACAUGCAAGUCGAGCGAACGGACGAGAAGCUUGCUUCUCUGAUGUUAGCGGCGGACGGGUGAGUAACACGUGGAUAACCUACCUAUAAGACUGGGAUAACUUCGGGAAACCGGAGCUAAUACCGGAUGAUAUUUUGAACCGCAUGGUUCAAAAGUGAAAGACGGUCUUUCUUUCACUUAUAGAUGGAUCCGCGCUACAUUAGCUAGUUGGUAAGGUAACGGCUUACCAAGGCAACGAUGCAUAGCCGACCUGAGAGGGUGAUCCGCCACACGGGAACUGAGACACGGUCCAGACUCCUACGGGAGGCAGCAGUAGGGAAUCUUCCGCAGUGGGCGAAAGCCUGACGGAGCAACGCCGCGUGAGUGAUGAAGGUCUUCGGAUCGUAAAACUCUGUUAUUAGGGAAGAACAGAUGUGUAAGUAACUGUGCACAUCUUGACGGUACCUAAUCAGAAAGCCACGGCUAACUACGU
rnacentral:rRNA from 1 species